rnacentral:rRNA from 1 species
AUUGAACGCUGGCGGCAGGCCUAACACAUGCAAGUCGAGCGGAGCGGCGGACGGGUGAGUAAUGCCUAGGAAUCUGCCUGGUAGUGGGGGAUAACGUCCGGAAACGGGCGCUACUACCGCAUACUAUCAGAUGAGCCUAGGUCGGAUUAGCUAGGUGGUGGGGUAAAGACCUACCAAGGCGACGAUCCGUAACUGGUCUGAGAGGAUGAUCAGUCACACUGGGACUGAGACACGGCCCAGACUCCUACGGGAGGCAGCAGUGGGGAAUAUUGGAGAAUGGGCGAAAACCUGAUCCAGACAUGCCGCGUGUGUGAAGAAGGUCUGCGGAUUCUAAAGCACUUUAAGUUGGGAGGCGUUACCAACAGAAUAAGCACCGGCGAACAUCGUGCCAGCCGCCGCGGUAAGUC